rnacentral:lncRNA from 1 species
CAGGCAUUUAUGACAUUCAUCACAGUAUGAUCCAAAGAGAGCAAGUAGAGUUUGUCUCGCACGAAGGCAAGACCAAUUACUUUAUUUAGAUGCUUAAUGUAACAAGUUCUCUCGGAAAAAUAACAGUCAUAUCCUGACUCUGCUAGGACUCUGACUGAAAUAAGAUUUCUUUUAACGGAAGGAGCAACUAAGACAUUAUUAAGUAUUAAAUUGUAGCCACUGGGAAGCUUGAGUGCGAGGUCUCCAACAGCCUCCACUUCAAUCUCCGCUCCAUCA